GGGGGGGUAAGUGUUGUUUUGUCAAGCAUAGAGGUUUAGGUUUAGGCUUGCUGUUUGGGUUGUUUCGACCCAUAGGCUCAUUUUCUCUGGAGGUAAUUAUCAACUUGGUAAAGGGUAUUUAGAGAAUUUAUUUGAGAGAUUCUUUUAAGACUGAAUGGAGAAAGUUCCAGGAAAGAGGGGCUUAGGUUAGUUCAGUAAUUGGUUUUAAAAUUUGAGGUGUUAACUUGAAAGAAUAAAUAUGGGAAGGGGUAAUUUGGAGAACUUGAAAGCAUUUCUGCUACCCUAAAAGGUUUUCUAUAAAAGGCUAUUUUCCUUCUUUGUCAAGGAAAACUUUAGAGAUUACAAGAUUGAAAAAACUUAUAAAACGGUCGAGCCUUCUUUUAGACUCUGAAUACUGAAAACUGUUUGAAAUUUAUUUGGUUUUGUUCUUUGAGUUCCCUGAUAGUCAGAAUUUUUAAAAAUCUUCAAAGAGCUGAGCUCAUCUGGGUUUAUUUUGGUUUGAAAGAAGCUGAUUUUGCUGAGUUGUUGAGCUGAUUCUACUACUGUUGCUAAUUCUUCAUUCGCCAAAAAGAUAUUAUCAAGGUUUUCAUUGAUUUAGUAAAGGCAAGAAGAGGCAAGAGGCAAGGAUGAUAUCGACAUCGAGUUCUACCUUUCUUCCUUUUGUAUUUAUCAUUCAUGAUGAAUUUUGUUAUUGUUAGUAUGAAUACGAUUAUGGGUAGCUAAUUAUUUAGUCUAAGGUUUUGAUGGAAUCUUUUGAAGGAUGAACUUCUUGAUGUGUUAAUAUAGUUUGCCCAGUUUAAUCUCUAUUUGUUUAACUACAAUCUCGUUGUGGUUAAUUGAUAAGAUCCUCAAUUAGCUGUGCAUAUUUAGUAUGUAUUACUCAGGAGAGAGUGCAUAUUUAAGUAAUUGUUGAACAAAACUACACCCAAAGUAUAGGAGGAAUAAAUAACCGAGGGUUUAAAUGUGGGAUUAGGGAUAAUGAAACCUUGGGUGCGAUCUAAAGUGAGUUGUAAUAAAAUCCAGCUAGCGUAAAUCGGGAGAGUGCAUCUAGUAAGUUGUGCC
rnacentral:lncRNA from 1 species